rnacentral:rRNA from 1 species
GAUGAACGCUGGCGGCGUGCCUAAUACAUGCAAGUCGAGCGAACAGACGAGGAGCUUGCUCCUCUGACGUUAGCGGCGGACGGGUGAGUAACACGUGGAUAACCUACCUAUAAGACUGGGAUAACUUCGGGAAACCGGAGCUAAUACCGGAUAAUAUAUUGAACCGCAUGGUUCAAUAGUGCAAGACGGUUUUGCUGUCACUUAUAGAUGGAUCCGCGCCGCAUUAGCUAGUUGGUAAGGUAACGGCUUACCAAGGCAACGAUGCGUAGCCGACCGGAGAGGAUGGUCAGCCACACUGGAACGGAGACACGGUCCAGACGCCUACGGGAGGCAGCAGUGGGGAAUAUUGGACAAUGGGCGCAAGCCUGAUCCAGCCAUACCGCGUGGGUGAAGAAGGCCUUCGGGUUGUAAAGCCCUUUUGUUGGGAAAGAAAAGCAGCAGGGUAAUACCCCGCUGUUCUGACGGUACCAAAAGAAUAAGCACCGGCUAACUUCGUG